CGAACGGGUGAGUAACACGUGAGUAACCUGCCCCUGACUCCGGGAUAAGCCUGGGAAACUGGGUCUAAUACUGGAUAUGACUACUGGCCGCAUGGUCUGGUGGUGGAAAGAUUUAUCGGUUGGGGAUGGACUCGCGGCCUAUCAGCUUGUUGGUGAGGUAGUGGCUCACCAAGGCGACGACGGGUAGCCGGCCUGAGAGGGUGACCGGCCACACUGGGACUGAGACACGGCCCAAACUCCUACGGGAGGCAGCAGUAGGGAAUCUUCCACAAUGGACGCAAGUCUGAUGCAGCGACGCCGCGUGAGGGAUGGAGGCCUUCGGGUUGUAAACCUCUUUGUUAGGGAGCAAGGCACUUUGUGUUGAGUGUACCUUUCGAAUAAGCACCGGCUAACUACGUGCCAGCAGCCGCGGUAAUACGUAGGGUGCAAGCGUUAUCCGGAAUUAUUGGGCGUAAAGCGCGCGCAGGCGGUUCGUCGCGUCCGGUGUGAAAGUCCAUCGCUUAACGGUGGAUCCGCGCCGGGUACGGGCGGGCUUGAGUGCGGUAGGGGAGACUGGAAUUCCUGGUGUAGCGGUGGAAUGCGUAGAUAUCAGGAAGAACACCAGUGGCGAAGGCGGGUCUCUGGGCCGUUACUGACGCUGAGGAGCGAAAGCGUGGGGAGCGAACAGGAUUAGAUACCCUGGUAGUCCACGCCGUAAACGAUGAGUACUAAGCUAAGUGUUGGAAGUCAAAUUUCAGUGCUGCAGUUAACGCAGUAAGUACUCCGCCUGAGUAGUACGUUCGCAAGAAUGAAACUCAAAGGAAUUGACGGGGGCCCGCACAAGCGGCGGAGCAUGCGGAUUAAUUCGAUGCAACGCGAAGAACCUUACCUGGGCUUGAACAUGUUCCCGACGAUCCCAGAGAUGGGGUUUCCCUUCGGGGCGGGUUCACAGGUGGUGCAUGGUCGUCGUCAGCUCGUGCCGGGAGAUGUUGGGUUAAGUCCCGCAACGAGCGCAACCCUCGUUCCAUGUUGCCAUCGGUUCGGCCGGGGACUCAUGGGAGACUGCCGGGGUCAACUCGGAGGAAGGUGGGGACGACGUCAAAUCAUCAUGCCCCUUAUGUCUUGGGCUUCACGCAUGCUACAAUGGCCGGUACAAAGGGUUGCGAUACUGUGAGGUGGAGCUAAUCCCAAAAAGCCGGUCUCAGUUCGGAUUGGGGUCUGCAACUCGACCCCAUGAAGUCGGAGUCGCUAGUAAUCGCAGAUCAGCAACGCUGCGGUGAAUACGUUCCCGGGCCUUGUACACACCGCCCGUCAAGUCACGAAAGUUGGUAACACCAGAAGCC
rnacentral:rRNA from 1 species